GAUGAACGCUGGCGGCGUGCCUAAUACAUGCCAGUCGAGCGAACGGACGAGAAGCUUGCCUCUCUGAUGUUAGCGGCGGACGGGUGAGUAACACGUGGAUAACCUACUUAUAAGACUGGGAUAACUUCGGGAAACCGUAGCUAAUACCGGAUAAUAUUUUGAACCGCAUGGUUCAAAAGUGAAAGACGGUCUUGCUGUCACUUAUAGAUGGAUCCGCGCUGCAUUAGCUAGUUGGUAAGGUAACGGCUUACCAAGGCAACGAUGCAUAGCCGACCUGAGAGGGUGAUCGACGGCCAUGGAACGACGGCGCGGUCCAGACUCCUACGGGAGGCAGCAGUAGGGAAUCUUCCGGAAUGGGGGGAAGACUGACGGAGCAGCGCCGCGGGGGGAGUGAAGGUCUUCGGAGCGUAAAACACUGUUAUUAGGGAAGAACAUAUGUGUAAGUGACUGUGCACAUCUUGACGGUAGCUAAUCAAAAAGCCACGGCUAACUACGUG
rnacentral:rRNA from 1 species